GACGAACGCUGGCGGCGUGCUUAACACAUGCAAGUCGAACGGAAAGGCCCUGCUUUUGUGGGGUGCUCGAGUGGCGAAAGGGUGAGUAACACGUGAGUAACCUGCCCUUGACUUUGGGAUAACUUCAGGAAACUGGGGCUAAUACCGGAUAGGAGCUCCUGCUGCAUGGUGGGGGUUGGAAAGUUUCGGCGGUUGGGGAUGGACUCGCGGCUUAUCAGCCUGUUGGUGGGGUAGUGGCUUACCAAGGCUUUGACGGGUAGCCGGCCUGAGAGGGUGACCGGCCACAUUGGGACUGAGAUACGGCCCAGACUCCUACGGGAGGCAGCAGUGGGGAAUAUUGCACAAUGGGCGGAAGCCUGAUGCAGCAACGCCGCGUGCGGGAUGACGGCCUUCGGGUUGUAAACCGCUUUCGCCUGUGACGAAGCGUGAGUGACGGUAAUGGGUAAAGAAGCACCGGCUAACUACGUG
rnacentral:rRNA from 1 species